UUCUAUGAGAUACAUGCCACAAUGCUUUGGAGGAAGAAAAUUGUAUUGCAGGCAGGGUUAGAAAAUUGUAUUGCACAGCCUAAUUGGUUUUGCUAGUGCCACGUUCACCCAAGGGGAGGGCUGUUCAAAUUCCACAACAUCUCUUCAGAUGCUCUGCCACAUGUAUAAAUACAAGAGAGAAACCUGAUGCAAACUAAAUCUAACCAGUGUUCAGGAACAGAAUACUUCUUUAUUCGUUGUAUCCCUCAACGAGCAAGUCAAAAUGAGCGACGCACCAGAACUCCCAAAAGCAGAAGAAAUAAAGGAAGAGGAAAGUCAUGACAAAAAGGAGGGAAAAGGAGAGCAGGGACAUGGGCCUGGUGAGCACAAACACGGGAGUUGUGAACACAAACAUGAGCAUGGGGUAGAGGGACACGAUCAUAGUGAACACGGAGAGGGAAAAGGAUGCUGCAAAGACUAAUGAAGACAGCAGGAAUAAAUCACUUCACUGCACCCCUACACUCAACAAUGCACUCUCUCUACCUGCCUCCUCUCACUACUUCACUGCAUUGGUCACCAAGACUGAAUUGAAAUGGGAAAUAUAUGUAUUGCCAUGUUUAAAAAGAAAAAUAAUAGAUAACUAUGGCUGGUGUAACGGUACAAUAAACUUCACAGAUCCUUAUGUUAAAAAUAAAAGUAUGUGCUGUGCUU